AAAAAAAAAAAAAAAAAAAAAAGAGUCCAGAGCUUUAUCACUUGCUGGAAUUGUGCUAUUUCCUCCCUUUAAACCUUUGAGCAAUAGAGAUAAAAAGUGAGUGUUACUUGUGAUAUUGGGAGAAAGAAUGCAAUAUUCUAUCUGUUGCUGUCUGAAAGAGCCCCUGUCAUCUGGCCUUGCUUUGGCCUUCCCAGCUUUGGGCAUGGAGACACGGACAUGCAUACAUUGGCUCCAGAGAUGGAGGCCAAUCAUUUUUAGUGUGAAGCCCUAUCACUUGGUGUCCUCCUUCCACUUGGGCAGGUUUCCAUUAAGUUGCAAAAAAUUGAUCACCAUCUGGCACGAUGGUUCCUUCCGAAUUGCUGCUAAACAUGGAAACUCACCCCAAAAAAGAUGACAUCGAGAUGAUGCAGAUUUCAGAUUAGAUUUGAUCUGCUGAAUUGUUAAAAUGCUGAACGUUUCCCCUCUGCCCUUCGAGUGCUAAGGCUGUUCUUCCUUUGGUGAGGCAGUUAAACAGGAGGGAGAUAAAAGCAGAUCUGUCUUUCACGAGGCCAAAGAUGCUGCAUGGGAACUGCUGGAUCACAGCCUGAACCUCUGAUUGACCACCUGAGGCAAUGAGUCAGCCCUGGGAGCACAGGUGAAGGCGAUUCAGCUGUGCUAUCAGAAGGCGUGGAGCCUGGCUCCAUCUCUCCUAGAUCCCAUUUAAGAGCUGACUACCAGUGGGGCAGGAUCUCUUUUGGAGAUUGCUCCUCUUGAAGUCUUCUCAGCGAGCCCAGGACAAGGGUAAGCUUCCCAUCUGUUCUUCUUUGGUGUGGUAACUCAUUUAGCCUAACUUUCCUGUAUAUUCCUUAAUUAUAACAUCUGUACAUUCAUUGAUUAUGCAGAUGUGCAGCCAGCAUCCCGCUGGGAUGCACGGAUUAAGAGAAUACGUGGAACUUCCAAAUUUAGAGUGUAGGACUGGCUCCCUGUAAGCAAAGUCUGCUUUUUAAAACGAGAUGUUAGCAAGAUAAUGCCAGGGAAAGAGAAAAUAAGUUUGCGUUUUGCGGCUACGUUCUGUUAUUUUGCAGCCAACCUUCAAACGGGCUGUUGGUGCAAGUGAACAAACGCUUCCUGUCUGUCCGUCCUCAUGGGUGGUCGCGUUUUAAAAUGAAAUAUACAGGCUGACAAAUGCCUUUACAAAGGCCAGAUUAUAAACUGUAAACCUACUGUCAGCUGGGUAGAAAAAAAAAAAUCCAAAUGCCUCUUAUACCAUUUAAAGAUUUAGUUUGGCUUCAACACUAAAGCACUUCAUCUUGAAGGAGAAAGGAGCUUAGAGUUUAUAAAUUGUUGUUUGGGCUCUAGUAAGCUCUGGAUAAGGGAAUCUAUCUGCUAGGAAACAAAUGACCUUCCCAAAAUUUAGGGAGCUCUGGGUAUUGUUACAAAGACAAAAUGCCUUGGAAAAAUGUCCCCAGAAUACAAAGGGAUUUGAGGCUGCUCUGUUACUCUUAACACACAGUUCAUACAGCUGCAAAGGGCAAAUCUUACAGUUCCCAUCUUUAAAAAUGGGUGGAAAAAAAGUUAAACAUAUCAGGGUAAUAAAAUACAAGCUGUUUAGGUUGAUCCCCUCUGUCUAACUUGACUAUAGACUUUCUCUUGCACACAGUUGUUGAAUCCAGGCUCAGCAUCCACAUUAUCUUGGCCAAAAAAAAAAAGCCUCAGAGUAGUCUAAGUUCCUCCCAGUAAUGAUCAUCAAAGGGAAAUUUUGUAGCAAACAGAGUGGUUUAUGGUAAUAUGGUUACUGCCUUUCAUAUUUGGAAUACAAAGGGAGGCACAAACUCCAGCAACAGCAGAAACUAAAGGGUAUUGCACACCCUUGCGUCCAUUACGUGGAAAUCUUGCAGCUCCAUUCCUGCAGAGCUCUCAUCCUCUGCUCUGCAAAUGCCGUUCAUAGUCUCUUCAUCAAGCUGAGUUUGCAAGAAUGCUGUUACUGUAAGAUAGAGCUUGGUGGACAAACAGAGGUCUGCGCUGAAACAGGGCUGCAUUUUUAAUCUGUUGUUGUUGUUGUUUUAAUUUUUCAUAUUUUGCUUUUAUUUUGAGGGUUUUGAGAUGGACCUGGACCAAUAUCCUCGUUGAGUUGGGUGGGAAAUGGGCAGGAUGAGCACCCCUCCCAUUGGCUAUAUAGGGAAAGGUUCCCUUUCCAUUCCAUCCAUCCCAUGCAGGUCUCCAAGGCACCACUUCUCGUUCCUUUCCCAUUUUUAUUACUGGUAUCCACAUUGGCUAGCACAGCUGUUUGACACUCUUGGAAAAUCACUGCAUCCAUCUUUUUGAGAUGCCCUCCCUGAUCAUGGGUGCCGUCCCUUCACUGUGCCUUUCUGGUUUUAAGAGUUUUUUUUUCUUUAUCUUUAAAUAUACAUCUCCAAUCAAUUAUUUGAGAUGAUGUCCCCUUUCCAAAGCUCCCAUCAAGCUCAACAGGAUGCGAGACAGAAACAUGUUCAAUUUUCUAUGUACACCACACACUUUAGCCUCAAGUACGUCAGCGCUGAAUUCCAUUAGACCUUUGGAAACUAUGACUCUUUUGGUGCCCAUCAGAUUGUUUUAAUGCCUAAAUGUGAUUCAUGCUGCAACUUGUGCUGUCGGCCAUCCCUUCUAUCCUACCCGGAGACCAGAUGACAGUUGUGCAGCUGUAUAAAAUGCUUUUUCUGAAGGAACAAAAAAGAAAUUACUGGAAAAAUCUUCAUAGCGGAUCUCCCUCCGCCCACAGAGUGGUGGGAAUAAACAUCACAACUUCAGAUCUUGGUAUCAAUAGAGAAUCCAGCUCUCCUGGGUCCAUCUCUUUUGUCUUGCCCUUGAAACAUCCUUAUCCACCAAAGUAAGUCUAAAAAAAGAGCCAUUCUUCUGGCACAACUCCAUCAUGGACCCACUGGCUUUGCUCUCUUGAUUCCCCUGCUGACCUAAGCAAUGGCUGCUCCCAUCAUGGAUGUGUUCUGGCAAUGAAGCAUUGAGGCCAGGGCUGUUCUUGGAGGAAUUGAGGCUCAGAAAAGUACAGGAGUGGGCCAAGUUGUGUGGGUUGAAUCCAACUCUUCCAUGUCUCAGGCAGUGAAAAUGAAGGGGAGGGGGGGGAGGAAGUGGAAAACUUUGGGAUAUUCUCCCAAAACACUUCCAAGAAAAUCCUUUGGAAAUUAUUUUUUCCCACAGCACUCUGGUAGACUGAAUUUAUGCAAAUCCUCUCUGGGUGUGCUCUUCAUUUGUAUGUUUUUAAAUCAAUGUGUGGCUGUGAUUGAGAUAUUAAAAAAAAAAAAACAAACUAAUAAUCUUCUGCUGAAAACCAAUUUUAUUCAUGUAUAGACCAUGGAAAGAUGAGUGGUGCAGCAUUUGUUGAGGAAGGUGUUGGAUGCUGAGAACAGGUUGCUCUGGGGUCUGCCUCAUUUGUCCCUCUUUGCAGAGAGAGAAGGCUUGAUGCUGCUUGGCAAUUCACAGGAUGGGGCUGCUGAGUAAAUGGCAAAUUCAUUUAGAGAUAUCUAGUAAAUGCACAGAAUAAGCUGCCAGCUCUCUUCUUAGAGCCAACAGUUCACUAAUUUUAAUCACCAGCUGGAUAUUUUUAUGGGGAGUGAAGAGACGGAGGGGUAUUAUGACAGAACAAGGGAGGUGGGAUUAGACUAAUCUAACCCAGGCCAAGUGGGCUCUUCCUGCUCAGCCAUGUGCAGUGUCAUGACUGUGUGAUUUAGACUACUGCACGCUCACCAGCACUGAUAAGGAGGACAAUUAUGGGGCACGUAAUUGUCUCCUCAACCCUUGGAGCUGGGGAGCGUCUCCAGCUCUGAGUUAGAGCCAUUCCCCACGACGGGGAGGUGGGUCCUGAUGACUGUGCCCCAGGGCUCUUGUGAUGUUGCUCCCCAUGGAUCCUGUUGUGCGCUCUGCUCUUGGAUGGCGCUCGCCAUUGCCUUGUCCCAAGCAAAAAGCUCAGCAAGACAUUUGCUGAGCUCCUUCAUCCUGCUGUAGAAAUGUGGUGGACGGCAGCUACAUCAUCACCUUUGGAGAAAGCUUCUCUGUGUUAUGUCUCUGAGUCCCUCAAGAGUAGUUUCUCUGGUUAAUUGUCACGUUUCCCCGUAACGUCUGGUUCUCUCCAUGUCCUUCCUCACCUUCCGCUUACUCAUACCCAGCUGAGACUUGUGCCAGACUGUCGCUGCCUAAGUGUGUCCGACUAAUCAAGGCAAAAGGCACAGUGCCACCUCUCCCAGCCUUGGUUUUACUGGAUACUCCUGGUAGGAAGCAUGGGAAGAGGUAUCCAGAGCCAAAUUUUUCCUUCCCCCCCUUCCCUCCCCGUUUUGUUUUGUUUUGUUUUUGUAAUAACCCUCUGAUUGGCACAUAGCAGCUCUUGUUGUUGUUUAUUUGCGUAGCUUUUCAUCUUAAUGAGGAUGUACGGAAACAAUUACCACAUGGUUCAUUCACAAUAUCAACUCAGGCUUUUCCUGUCUGCGCGGUGGCUGGGCUUAGCCACUGAACAUUGCAGAAGUUAUGCUUUUUACUCAUUAUUAUUUUGCUUUAAAUACAUAUUGUACAAUAGGGAUGGUUUUCCCCAAGAAAUAAUGUUUGGGUUUUGCACCAGGUGACUGGAAAUGCCCCAAAGCUUCUCCCCUUUGGCGGCUGAAAUUCCAGAUUCUUUUAGAAGAUGUACUUUUACAGGAGGGCAGAGAGGGGUCAAGAUGCACUGACUAAUUCAAGAUUUCCUCCGCUCGUUUCCAUAACAAAUAAUCAUUUUUUCUUUAUUUAGCUGUGCUCACUGAUAGGUUUUCAUUUGCAUCAAAGCUUUGUUCUGCUCUUGCUUGGGCUGCCUCCAGAGGCCAGAGAACAUCACGAGCUGCUCCUAGCACAUCCUCCAAAGACAUGGGCCAAAGUCAGAGCUGUGUAUUGGCUCCCAACUGGAAACCCUUGUGAGACCGACCCCGGAGAGCUGCGUGGAGAGAUGUCUGUGGAUAUUGAAUGGACAUUCCCAGUGGAAAUCAGUCCUAGAACUAAAAAUGCUGCCAACUUUUAUCUGGUUAUUUAGAAGGUGCUUGGAAUUUUGCCCCUUUGGGUUACAUCCUUCCAUUCGUGCGCACCUCGUCCGAGGCUGAUUCAAUAUUACCAUUAUUCUCUGAGGGAUUCCGUUCCUAGUAACUCAGGAAAUGAGCCUUCAAACUCACCUCCAAAAGCUGUGGCUUGCUUUUCUGUGUGAAACCCUGGCACCGCCGCACUGGGGAAGCAAUGGGGAAUUUGGCAGGCGUUGGCUUUCCGAGCGGCUGUUUGCCCUUUUCCCGUCCCUGUGAAGAGCUGCCCCAGCGGAACAACGUGAUAAGAGGCUGAAAAAUGGUGUUGUGCAUGGGAGAUCUCGGCGGAUUUGACAGCUAACUUCCCUGCAGAUACUGGUUUGUGCUGGGUGUGCUCCAGCUGGGGACACGGGGGGGCUCGGGUGGGACUUUCCAGCGGGCUGAGCUCGUGGGCAUCAGCCUCAAUAGCAAGGACAGUGUCUCUUGGUCUGGCGAAGGAGGUCUCCUGAUCAAUCCUCUUGUCCCAUUUUGAGUUGCCCAACCAUGCACGUGGACAUAUUUCCAAUAGCCACUGCAUGGCAACUGAGCUGGUACCCAAAGCCUGUUGCUCAGACUGGGGAACACCUGAGUGUGCGCUGGAGAUGAGAAAUCCUGUUUCCAGCUCAGACACCUCUGCUCUGUUUUCAUCCUAAAAAAAAAAAUACAUGGCUAAGGAAUUAUUCCUGGCCCCAUCCUUGGUGCUGUUCACAGGCUUGCAGUGGUUAGCAAUGCAUGCUGCACUUCUAUUUAUCUGAUGCACAGAGACAUCUGUUUAUCAUAUGUUGCACGUCUGAUAAGCAACUUUUUUCUUUAUCCCAAGGCCCGAUUAAAGAUUCCAAUUAAUGUAACUUGCAGGAAGGUCCUGUAACACAGCUUUUAAAUCAAUGUCAUGUAAACUUUGCUGGGUUAAUCCUGCACAUCUGAAUUUAGCUAAAAACCAACACCGCAAGGUCAGGCUGUACAAAUUGAUGGAUUUUUAUUCCUUUAACCUUAGAAGUGUUGCAGAGAGGGUAAUAGCAGCAAGGCUUGCUCCUUCCAAUAGCUUCUUUUUCCUGCAUGAAAAAGAGCCAUCAGACAUUUUCCUUCUUUCUGCUAUGUGCAUAUGCAUCUAAUAUAUGAGCAUCUAUACGUGUGUAUUUUUUAAAUAAGAAGAAUUUAAAUCAGCCAAGCACUAUGAAAAAGUUGCCGCUGCUUUUCAAAUGUCUGUUAUUUUUCCAUUUUUUCCUUUCAUUAAUUUCAUUCUGGUAUUGUAAACUGGCAAUAUAACGGAGAAGAUCUAUCCUCCUCUUUGAAUUACUUUUGGCAAUGAGCUGAGUAGCUGCAGGGACAAACCUCCUUAAAGACAUUCACCAGCAUCUCAAAGCGGAUGAAGAAGUUAAUGUUGGCAUAACAAAGCAGCAUGAAUUUGAGGGGGAAAAAAAAAAAAGAUGCACAAUUCCUGGACUUUUCUCAUCUUUUAGGGAGAGAUUUUUGCAGUGUCUCCAGGACUCAGAAGUAACAAUCUCUUAUCAGAGCUCUUCAGUGCCUUUGCACUAUCAUCAACACAUGUAAACAAAGCUAAUACUUUGCAUGGAUAACUUUCUGCAGGAGAAUGCAGCGCGUGUAACAGCCUAAGGCAGAACAUCAUCGUUAUCAGCUCUAAGCUAAGGAGGGUAUUUAAUUUAGGGAAUUCGGCACUUCCUGCAUUCUUGUUUGUUUGACAAUAUUUCCUAUUUCCUAUAUGCUGUUUCUUUGCUUUGUUCAGGCAUAGGUAUUAAUUAGGGGCUGGACACGAUGAUCUCUGGAGGUCCCUUCCAACCCCUACAAUUCUGUGUGAUUCUGUGAUUCUGUAAUAUUUUAAAUUGCUGUAAUAGUAGCAAUAAGCUCUUUUCAAAGGCCUGCUGGAGAUGCUUUGCUUUUCAGCUUGGAGUUAUGUGGCUUUAUUUUCUCUCUUUCAAUCUCAGAAUUUCUCUUUAAGAACAACAGAACUUCCUACAUAUUUUUUUUUUUCUUUAAUUUAACUUAAAUCUUUCUUCUACUGGUUGAUAUUAAGGCUUGAAGCCAGCAGAAGUGUUUUGGAGCAGCCCUAUUCCUGCUGCACUGUUCAGGUGGGCACAGACAUGAGGUGGGGCUGAGGCUCCCGCAGGCUGGGCUGUGCCAACCGGACCAUCUGAGCUCCCCGUUCAUCCUGCUCCUGCUGGGACUUCCUUCUGCCUUGCUUCUCUCCUAAACUUGACUCCUUUGCAUUUUGUUUUCUUUCGUUCUCUCAAGAGCAUUUGGGAUCUCAUCAGCAACGAAAGCGCGGUGCCAGGAUUUUAGCUGGAGCUCCUUCUGCUGGCAGGAUGACCACUUUGCACACAGAAAUCCCCCUGCAAGGCCAGACAUGAAUUCUCUCCUUUUCUUUUUCCCUCUCUCUCUCUACAUGUCCUUCUUGCCAAUAAAGGGGUGACCUUAAUAAAAACACAUAUGCCAAGAACAGAGCUGGGCAUCUGCCUGCAGUGAGAUGUUGGCUGAGAUAAGCCAUGGCUCAUCUUAAACUUGGCUGAAUCUUACCAGGAACUUUUAUCAGUUGCAAUGAUUUUGGUAUCGAGCCCAAAAUGCUGCAUGUGGGAGUGAUGGAGACCAGAGCUGUGAGAAGUCCUGCUCUGAGUUUUCUGUCCAUUCUUUCAGAAUCAAUGCUGUCUCUCUGCUCUCAUCUGUUGGAUGACCGUUCCUUCUCCUGCUAGAUAAUUUUGCCAUUGAUUUCAGUGUGGGCAAGACUUCUGGAAACACAAAGUCCUGGCAGCCUAAUUUCUUUAUAUAUUUGCCUAAUUACACUUAUGAACAUCCCUGAUUUUUUUAAGCACCAGUAAUAUGUAAGAGAAGGCUGACCCACACGAGACACAAUCCAGCUGCAAGCUUUGAUGCAAACUCAUGAUUAGCUUGUUACAGUUCCGUGUUGUGGCCCAAACCAGCCCCUUAGCUGAGGAAGCACAGCAAUCCCUGGGUCCCAAAUCACCGAGCCUUUGAUCUUGGCAAUUUAAUUUGGAAUGAGACACUUUGGGAUGCUGAUGUGUUACUGAAUCUAUGAGCCAGCACAUAAUACAUGACACACUUUAACCUCUCAGCAAAUGUGAAUGUGCACUGCGCUCUUCUGAACGUGAACUUGUGUAGGAUUCCAGCUGAUAACUUGUGGGUAGCAUUUAUGCAGAAAAGAAGUAUCCUGUCAACAGCUGCUUUUGCUUUAAAAAUCUAGAAGCAUUCUUAGAAAGCAUUUUGUGGCUUGCAGACUUACAUAGGAUUUUUUUUUUCUAUACAUCCAUUUUUCCUCUCCUCCCUACAGCAGUACUGCUAAUAAGAUGUGUUUUCUUAUCCGGGUGCAUUUAAUCAAAUCCAAAAUCAAAGGCUGAUAAGAAAAAUGAAUUAGAAACUUUAAAAAACCCAAGCCAUCAAAUCGCUGGACAGUUUAGAAUGAAACUGAAGAGUGAAAGCAAGAUAAAGCUAAAACAUAGGGUGAUCUCCAAGGGUGCAAGGCAUUUGGAAGCCACAGCUCCAGUGAGAUUUUCUCCUUGAUUUCUAGGAAUGAACACAAGAAUGCUGCAAGGCUACAAGGGAAGAUGCUGGUCCAUGGGUCUGCCUAGUGUAAUUCUGAUGCCAAUGGGAGCAUUGUUAGAAAUCAGACAUUUGUUCUUAGAGAUUUUCCCUUUACAGGUUCAGACAGACUGUGAAUGGGGGCUGGUUUUAGAAGAUGGGAUGCUAGCAAAGCUGCACACCCGUGGUAGCCACCUCUCUCGGCUUGCUGAAUUGAUGCCAUGUGCCCCGGCCAUGCCGUGGAUGAGGAUCCAAUGCCUUCUGCCCAUCCCAUGUGUCAGGAAUUCCCACUCCUUGUCUUCCCAUGCAUCUUCACUAACAGAUCAGGAUGCAAACCCGCCAGCGCCGCGGGGGCUGAGCCAUUUUUCUCAUGCAGCACCAAGCAGCCAUUUGAUGGAAAUGGCUCAGUGCCAUCCCCGACCUAGGCUGCUUUUGAACCGGGCGACCUCUAAGUGAAAGGCUUGGUAUCACAUUGCCAGUUCCCCAAACCAUCUGUCCUCCUUCAGUGAGCUUCCUUCAAAAGUCCCGGCACACUUCAUAAACAUCGCAGCCCUUCUCACCCCUCCAGCUGCCCCUUCCUCUAGGAGAACCAGCAGUUUGAAGGAAAUACCACUCAUUUCUCCUUUUCAUUUUUUCUUCCCAAGUGUGUUAAAUUUGACAUCUGCGAUUUGGCAAAGGCGAAUUGGUUUUUUUUUGUUGUUGUUCCCCCCCUCCUACGCUGUGUUUUAAACCUGUUGGUGAGGAUGAAGAAGGCAGGGAUCCACACUGGUGCGGGUGGAGGCGAUGCUCUGCCCGGUAGCAAAGCCUCCUCUCACAGCCACGUCUUUGAACGCGAACAAUAAAGCAAACUUCCAUUUCCUUAACAAAACAUGGUCAUGUCACAAGCCCCGGAGCUCCACCUUCCCUUUCAAGAAGUUAGAAAGUGGGACUUUAGACAAAGAAAAAUAGUCUCAGGUGGGUUCGCCAUGGAUCAUUUUGACUAUAUUUUAAACACUGAAAUGUCAAUGCUUAGUCAUAGACAAGACAUGAUUCUUAUCUAGCUACAUGUGGCUUCCAGUAUAAAAAAAAUUUGAACCCGUGCCAUUUCCUGUUGGAGAGAGCUUAAACACAAGGGUGACAAGGGCACAUCUAUUUUGGAUCCCUAUUUUAAAAGCCUCCAGAUAUCAUAGAAAUCAACUGGCACAAACAGAGGACUUUGAAUUUCUUUCAUGGCGGUGGCAAAUUACGUAUAUCAAUGAAACACAUACUUAGCGAAGCGGAAGUGAGCACCAGCAAUACUUCAAUCAUCUUUGGCAUAUGUGUACAUUAUUCUGUUUGAUCUCAUAGGAUGCUGGAUUUAGACGAUAUAAUCCAUUCGGGUUAUCUUCCUCGAAGUUGGAGGGACGUAAGGAGAUAUCCACUUUCACAAGAUAAAAUUAGCACCUCUUUAUUUUUCGGAUAAACAUUCUUCUUUUUUUUUUUUUUUUUCUUUUUUCUUUUUUUUUUUUUUCAGGAAAGCACUGAUUAGAGUUACAAAGCAUACCAAUGGGUAUGAGUUUAUUCAUAUUCAACCCAAAUCCUAUUUAUAAUAUAAAGGAAAUAACAUUGGUAUUACACAUGGCAACUUGGACAGCCUGGAUCCAAGAGUAGUGAACCACGCUCUUCAAAAGAGCCGAAAGCUGUUGUUUUCCAAAACCACGGUGGGAAAGUAGAAAUUUCACUUAAAACGGGACGAUUGUACCAGAAAAUGGCCUACCCACAGUGAUGGGAAAGUGGAAAUUUUACUCAAUAUGAGACAAUUGCACCAGAAAAUGGUGUGUCCACACCAAUUCUCCUAGUGCAUCUUUUGACAAGGAGCUAUGAGCUUUAGAUGCAAAGUACGGACCCAAAUUUUGGACAAAGAGAUUCAAUGUAUUUUCUUGCACAGCUCUUCAUCUCAGUUUAGCUUCCACCUACCACAGGUAGCUAUAAGUUCUACCCAGCUCAGCCAACCACGCUCUCAAAUACGAACCAAUUCAGCGCUUUAAAACCCAAGUCAUCAAAUCGCUGGAUAUUUUAGAAUGAAACUACAGAGCGAAAAUAAGAUAAAGCUAAAACGUAGAGUGAUCUCCAAAGGUGCAAGCCCAGUUAGAAGUUAUUUUUGUUAAGUUAAAGCAUAGAUGGCUUGGGCAUGGGCAUGGGAAAUAUGUUUCUGGGUAGAUCUGUGUGAAUAACGGAUUGUUUGCUUCACUUGCUGCUCCAAACAAUUGGGAGAGAAAAAUGGCUUCCGGUGAAUUAAGCCUUUUGUACAAUGUGGAAGCCUUAAUGGACCUUUGAACUUUUUUAAAAUAAAGAAAUACAUUGCGUUAUCUGCAAUGCUUCAUUUCAUGUCAGAAAGAAAGGCGGUGACCUUCGAAAGUCCUUUGAUGGUGGCAACGGUCCGGUGAAAUCAACGCGAUUUUCCCCAAAUGUUUCUGUUGGUUUGGAUCACUGCAUUUCAAUCCGGGAUGGGGAAAAACACGGUCGUAGGAGUUUUGCUUUUGUGUCUAUGGGUUUGGCAGGGGGUAAAACGCUCAUGGAUCAGACCCCCUUGUCCUUUGGCACCCUUAGGUAUGAUGCACCAAGAACUUCAUAUCGGCGUAUGCGGAUAUUUUUGUCUUGGAAUCCACCCUCGUGUUUGCACUGCAGUUAUGAAAUAAAACCACAAGCGAUACGAUCUGUUGAAAUAUUCUGUGAGGCCUUGGUUAUCAGGAUGUGAUUUUGUACCACUUUGCAACGUGAAGCUUUCCAGUUUAAUGCACGAUGACAGAACAAGAUCCGUUUACGGGGAUAAAGCAAGCUCGUUUUCAAGACCAAGUUUAGCAACUUCUCAAAUGUCUGUUGUUGUCUGUCCUGUUAAUUGGCUGCAUGGCUGCAGUUUGUGUGGGCUGGCCAUUAUAACGUCAAUAAAUCCACUGACUGGAAAUGAAAUUUGAUGCAUAACGGGGCCAAAUGUUGUGUUCCUGGGAGCCGGACCACGUGCGUUGGUCACAGGAGUUCAGUGGAUGAAGUUGAGUAGCCUCAUCCAACAUAAAAGCAGCUUUUGCUAGAGAAGAAAGCUAAGCUCUGGGCUUUUACAUGGGUAUUCCAGAAAGAGGGACCAUCUAAAUGUUUUUUCAUGGAGAAAAGGCAGCCAAAAGGGAUUUUUUCCUCCUCCUCACCACAGUGUCCCCAAGUUCAGCCUUUCUCCAUGGGAUUUGAACAAGAAAUUGAUUUCCCUGCGCUGUUGGAAGUUUGGCAUGAGAUCUUCGUGUCAAGAGCCCAAAUUUUGCAUUUUCCUCCCUUUCCCACCCUAAAUAAAAAUAAAAAUACCCCCAAACAAAAUCAGCUAAUGGGAGAAAGCCCGAGGAACAAGAAAAACUGGGAGGUAGCAGCAUGCUGUGUGCAAUGGCAGACAGAUCUCCACGCCAAUGGGGAUUAUUAAUGGCCAGAGCACGCCAUGUGGUUCUUUUUCCACUCAAGCUGACAGCAACUGUUUGUCUUCUGUUGUCCAAAUUGUUCAAUUCUUCCCAUCCGAAAAUUGUGAUUUCUGAAGGAUUGCACAGCGAAUGAGCCCGACACCCUGCAAGCUGCCUGCUCGAGUGGCUGCAAUAUUAGAUUAUAUUAAAAUAAUUAUAAACUGAGUGCAUUACAGAUGAAAAAAAAAAAAACCCUCUAAAUUUUAAUUUGCUGCUUGAUUGAGAUGAAAUUGUGAAAAAUGCAUAGACUCAGUUCCUGUAGAUACAGAAAUGAGGGUAAUGAGAGCAACUUAUUGUCUGUAAGUGUGUGUUUCUGUAGGUUUGUAAUCACACCCGUUGUAUCCCCCGAGAGCUCGGGUUUCACAGGGCAGGAGCCGGACCAUCAAGCUGAGAGCAACCACGGCUACAAUUAGCUGCAGAAGCUGAAUUUGGGGGAUUUCUCAUUAACCUGUCAUGUCAAAUGCCAUAUGAUAAGACGGUGAAAAUUGGGGGGAGGAGUGGCAGUGGAGGGGUAAAAGUUCAUUUUGCAAAGCAAACAAACAGCGAGUCACUUGAUUUUACUAAUUAUCCUAGCCUGUGGCUCUCUCAGCCAUUAUUUCCCCCCCCCCCCCCAAUCAGUGUAUGAACUGACAAGAUAAGAUAGGGGCUGGUAUUUUCUAAACUAUCCUGCCUGACGGCAUAUACAGAUAAUAUGAGGAUUCAUUUGCAAGAGCGCACAGAAGAUUGAUUGACUUUCUUAAUGCCGGAGCAAUCGCUCAUUAGUGAAAUAACUCCUGGCAUUUGUGGGGAAUGGUGUGAGGGCACGGCAGGGGAUGCCUGCCCACAAACGGUGCCCUGGAUUCUGUUUUUUGGGUGAAAAGGAGCCAUUUUGGUGCUGCGUUGCUACAGAUCGUGGGUUUGGUUCGCAGUGCAGCAGUACCGAUGGGUGGUCGGACGGUAGCAACGUGAACCUGCAGCGCUCGGAUCCGUGGAUAGCAGAGAGGGGAGGAGGAAUGCGGGGAAUGUUUUCCCUCGCAGCGCUGCGGCGGUGCGGCGGUGACAGCGCUAACACUUCCCAGAGCCGAGGACCCCGAAGCCGAAAUGGCAUUGCCCACCCUGAAAGCGAGAAGGUAAAGUUUAUUUUUCUAUAUAUAUGUAUUUUUUUUCCUCCCCUUUCUCUCUUGCUCUCCCGUACCCAGAGCGGAUCGAGACCACCAAGAGUGGCCUAUUUUUUUUCUUCCAUGGUGAUGUACAAUUCGCGUUUGCUAUUAAAAUAAAAUCCUGCCUGAGGUCAUCCACCUAAGUUCUCUCUCUUUUUUUCUUUUUUUUUUUUUUUUUUUUUAACAGGAAACGGGUCUCAGAUGUUUAUAUGUUAAAAAGUAAGGCUGCUAAUCUGCUUGCCCCUUUGCCCGGCAUCGACAACUGUCACAUCUUUUCUCCUGGCUUUGGGGCCAAUUUAUGUGUUUGCUUAAUUUCUUUUAAAUUGGCGGAAUAACCGCUGUCCUGCAAUCACUGGGUUUGCUUGCCAACACCAAGCAAAGCCACCUCGGCAAUGUAAGCCAAAGUUUACCAUAGAAUUGUGAGAUUUUAUGCUUAUUGGAGAUGGACUCCAGCAGUGAAGGUGGGAGAAAAGGGGCUGCAGCUCAGCGCUUGGUGUUUGUGUCCGUCAAACGCAAAGAAUGCUGAACUGGGAACCUUUCAAGCACUGAUGCUUGUGAUCUCGGAGCAAAGAAGAGGAGAUUAAUCUGCAGUGGUGGAUUGCCACGCUGUUGUCCAAUGCACAAUUUCAAGCACAUAAAGCACAGAUUCGUUCCCUUCUAUUAAUCAAUAUUUUUGAUAACCCUUGAGGUCCCUUCCAACUCAAGCCAUUCUAUGACUCUAUGAUUUUUAUUUCCUUCUUUUCAGUCUCAUGCAGCAUAGAGGCUGAUAAUACACCAUUAAAACGGGAUAAAACUGGAGGUCUUUGGACAGCACCUGAGCUGUAGGGUGACACACUCUGCACUGCCCACCACUUCUUGCCUCGUUUUUCCCAACAGCUUCCCCACAUGGUUGACAUUUCUGACCCGGUGUGAAGCACAGCCUCCAGCCCACACCUGGUUAGCGGUGUGAUGAGAAUCAGAUUAAAUCAGCAAAGAACUUCAGUAACAAAAGCAGUGGGAGCAGCAGCUUUAGGAAGUCAGAAAAUGUGAGAAUGGGCUCAUGUUGGAGAAAACCCUCCUUGGCUGCACAGCUGCCCACAAAAUGCAAACUGAGGCCAGGAGGAAUUCCUUGGUGUUGACCAUCUGAGGCUGGAAAUGAACUGUCGACAUGUAAGUAUGCACUAAUGCAGCCCGCAGAGAAAGCUGAGAAACUGAGGAGAGCAGGAAAACAUCUCGGAGGGCACUUCUUGGUGUGCCAACACAAGCUGUCACGUCUGCAAAGCAUCUCCCUUGGAUAUGGAGAAAACAAAAUAACCCUUCCUGAGGUUUCCUCUCCAUCAGCCUCGUACUAAACUGUGGAUGGGAUCAGUGGGUGCCAGCAUCCAGGUGCCUCGUUCCUUUUUGCAAUGCCAGUGUGAUGCUGAUGGGGAAUGGGAAACUGGGGAGGAGGGGUGGCUGCCGUCUGAAAUCUCCCCCAAAAUGCCACCCUGGGGCUGGUUGUAUUUCUUUCAACUUUCUGUGUUUCCAAAGAGUUUCUCCAUGACUAAUGUUUAUCAGUGCUUUCCUGGUGCUGCAGUGAAGGAGCUGGCAUUAGGAGACGAAAAGCAACUUGCUUUCCUCUGCGAGGGGCCAUUGAGCAGUGAGAUAAUGCUCUUCCCAAAAGUGCGUGCUCACUGCUGCUGGGUUGCUGCCAGGAGCAGCCUCCCCCAUUCCCUCUGGAGGUGGCAACAAUGCACAUGUGUGUCAUUUCCUGACCUCUGUGGAAAUCUCAGGGCUGAUAUUCAAGAAAAGAAAAAAAGAAAGAUGGAAAAUCAAGGGCCUCCCCUAGGAAGACUCCACCUUCCAGACUGCUCCAUUUCCACGUCAAGUGUCUCUUCGUGCCUUGUGCUCCAUGGCCAAGGCUGGGUCCUGCUCUGGGGUGAGUCAGCCCCAACUGUCCCCAAGGGAGGGGACAGCAGACCACCCCCAGGCAGUGGGCUCACAUCCUGCCCAUGGAUUUCCAGGAACUUUUCUUAAUGCUGUAAGCUGUAAAAAAUCACUAAAACAUCAAAAUGCAUCCAGGCAGUGCUGUCUGUCCUGGAGACACCGCAUAGACAAGCCCACUGUUUGAAGCCAUCCCGUAUCCAUUGUCACACAGGGCCUUUUUGCUCUCGGACCUUCUUCAGUUGGAAGCAAAUCUGCUUCACCAUCAGGCUGCAUCUCUUUGUACCUAUCGCUAUUACAGCUUCUACAAUUCCCUGAAAGGAUGUUGUAGAGAGGUGGGUGUUGACCUCUCCUCCCACGUAACAGCAACAAGAGGAGAGGUAACAGCCUUAAAUUGCACCAGUGAAGGUUCAGGUUGGAUGCUAGGAAAAAUGUCUUCUCAGAAAGAGUGCUGAUGCACUGGCAUGGGCUGCCCAGGAGAUGGGGGAGUCGCCAUCCCUGGAGGCGUUCCAGAACUGUAAAGAUGUGGCACUGAGAGACGUGGUUAGUGGGCAUGGUGGGAUGAGCUAAGGUUGUAUUUGGGGAUCGUAGAUCAUUUCCAACCAUCAUAAGUCUAUGCUAUGAUUCUAUUGUAAGAGUCCAGAGGAAAGGCCAAGCUAUGUGGUUGUUUUGGGGCACUGUGCUUCUGGAAGCUUUCCAUUCCUUAGGACCCUGAAGGCUUGAAUCUAUUCCACUCACUCUAUCUUGUAUUGCUGUGUUUUGGCAAGGCACAGAACAAAUGAGUGGCAGGGUCGGAUAAACAAGCUUAAGGUAAACAUUAUCUGCAUGUAUAUCCUGAUUUAUAAUGUACGUGCAUCAGUUAAAAAUUUACUUGAAUUUACCACAGUGUUUUAAGUAAUGUUAUUAAGAAUGUAAGUUCUUAGGAAAACUCAGUCUGUUUUUAGCCCAGACAUGCAAUUAGGGGAAUUAGUAACACGAUACGUCAUCUUCAAGAACACACAGAUACAGUGGUCAGAAACCUCAUGCAACCCUCUGGAAGGAAAUUUUGCUCGCAGCAUAUGCAAACCUCCUGAUUCUCACCAGGAAAUAACGUGACCUCCCCAAGGCAGCACAUGGCCUGUUUGAAGGGCUCUGAGGAUGAAAGAGGGGAGAUUUAGGUUGGAUGCUGCUGCCCAGAGAAGAUGUGGAUGCCCCAUCCCAAGGCCAUAUUGGAUGGGGCCAUUGGCAGCCUGACCUGGUGGGUUGCAACCUGGUCCAUGGCAGGGGUUUGGAACUGAAUGACUUUUAAAAGUCCUUCCAAUCUAAACCGUCCUAUGAUUCUAUGAUUCUGUGAGUAUGAAACACAAUAUUUGGAUGGGAUUGGGUGAACGUGAGUAUGCCACCUCUGGAGAGGAUCACCACAAUGACUUCACAUCCUGCACAGGCUUCCUGCACCAGAGAAAUAAAUCAAGCAGCACCCGAGCCCCCAACCUCUACCAAAAACCUCUGCAUUUACUCCUCUGUUCAGGGCCAAAUGGAGAGGGCAAAGACAACUAGCACCACCACGCAUGGGCUCACACCACAUCCCAAAGCUGUGGCUGUGCAGCCCCUCUGCUUAUUCCCACGGCACCGUGACCAGAGCCCUUUCUGCUGCUGGGACAGUGGAAAAUUCCAGAAAAAAAAAAGCAAAAAGCAAAAAAGCAAAAUCUUUCCCUCCCUGCUUCUUCCUGAGAGUUCCAGAAACUCCAGCUGAAUUUCACAAAUUCAGGUGGCUUUUGGCCAGUUUGCGUAAGCCAGAGUCCAAAUUUUUGGUUGCUGAACGAAGCUUUGACACAAGUCAUUGAGGUUUCUUUAUCGCUAGCAACAAUCUCUGCUUUUGUUUUUGUUUUGCUUUCAGCCUCUAGCACUGCUGCAAAACAACCUGAUCCUGCUACAGGGACGCGUGUGAGGAAAGCAAAAUAUUGCUCAGUAAAUAGCUGCAAAUGAUAGAGGAUCCUGCAAAAAAUGCUGGAAAAUAUGAAGCAAGGGGGAAAAAAAUGGGGUUUUCUUUCCUCCUCUAAGAAAGAAUGCAUUAUCUGGAAAUCCCACUUUGUAGUUUGGCAUUUCUUUUGGUGUUGGUUUAUUUCAGCAACCAACUCUGAAUAAAGAACAACCGCAGAAACUGUAUUCCAAAGCUGCAGCGGUGGGUGGCAAAUUUCUCCCUCACCACAAAUAUCCUUCCAUACUUGUCAGUCCAGAUUGAAAACAUUUUUUGCUGUUGUUUGUGUAUCUCAUCUUCCAUCACUCUCAACAAGGGUCAGGAACAAUGGGUUUGAUGGGUUUUGGACCUAAAAAGGAAAUUUUUCUUCUUCUCCCUUCAAUUCCAUAGUAGCUCACUGCAGAGCUCAAAGGUUAGGGCUUGUCCUAUCUAUGGGAGCUGUUAUGGUCCCUCUCUUUAAGCCAAGGGAUGGAUGUGUGAGCACUGAUGGUCACUUUCUGUGGGAUUCUUGCAAGAUUUGAGUAUCCAAAGAAAACUUCUCACCUGCUGGGCUUGCCUAGCGAAGUAAAGUGCAAAAUCAUCACAUUCUUUCAAGUUCUUGCCUGGAGAAAUCUCAGCCUUGGGCAGGGCAGAGGCACCUCCCUAUCAGAAGGAGGAUCCCAAUCCCCAAAAAUGUGUGUUUGUGCUUCCAGACACGCACAGCCCCAUUGAUUUAGUGCACGCGUACGUUUGCGCAGCUGGGAUCUCGCACUGCAAGCUUCUGCCAGAUAACUGUACAGUGAGGAGCCCUGAUUUGCUCUGGGCUUUUCGCAGUGCAUAAAAACAGCAUCCCCAACAGGCACAGCCCUGCUGGGUCUGAUGUCAGCAUGCAGGAGCGUUCACUCACAAUGAAACGUCCUGCAGAUGGUGGGGUUUUGGAGAGCACAGCACCCAGCUUUACAGAAGCGCCGUGUACACAUUCACCCAAAUAUCUUCAAAACGCGCUGGUUUAACUCCGCAGCCGUUGUAUUUUCACAUCCUCAGCAAAACCCUGGACCUACCCAGCCCUCAGGUAGUUGAAAUCCUAGAAUCAUUAAGGCUGGAAAAGAUCUCUAGGAUCUCCAAUUCCGACUCAACCCAUCCCAGCAUUCCCACUGACCGCUUGGCUCGGUGCCGUAUCCCCACGGUUGUGAAACACCUCCAGGGACAGUGACUCCACCACCUCCCUGUGCCAACGUGUCGCCACUCUUCCAGCAAAUAUAUUUGUCCUAACAUCUAACCUCGUUCUUGGGACAUACCCAAUAAACAAGGAGCCCUCCAGCGGAUAAGCUCCCCUUCCCAGUUUCUCCUGAUUUUGGAUCAGUGAGACCUGCGGUGCUCAGAAUACAAUGGCUUUGCCCCCAGAGCGGUGAUAAGGAAUUCAUGUGCCAGCAGGCUCUAUCCUGGGCUCUUCUGCUCCACUUCAACAUCAGUGCUGGAUUCUAGGGGCAGGAAACAGUGCAGGAUUUGGGGGAGACACCAACCCAGACAGCCCCAGGCAUCCCCUUCAGGCACAGCCCAUGCUCUGCUCUGAUGGAGGUGUGCAGCCCCAUUAAGUCUCCUGCCAGUGCAGCCUUUCUGUUGUUGUUUUCCCUGAGAACACGCUAUGUUUAUCUAGCUUUGAUUUUUUUUUAAUUUAAUUUUAUUUUUUGCUUUGUUCUGCUUUGUAGCUGAAUGAACUGAUUAUUGCUUUCAUCUGGUUCCCUCUGAAGGGUCAAAUGAAGCCCAAAUAAUAAAAUUGAACACGAG